ACUUAUUUAGUAUAAAAAGUAUAUUUAACUUCCAAUUAAAAGGCCUUAUUAAAGAAUAAGUA
rnacentral:tRNA from 1 species